GCCUCAGCCCUGAGGGACGGCCCGGGAGCGGUGAGCGGGGAUCGCCUCAGCCCUGAGGGACGGCCCGGGAGCGGUGAGGGGGGAUCGCCUCAGCCCUGAGGGACGGCCCGGGAGCGGUGAGGGGGGAUCGCCUCAGCCCUGAGGGACGGCCCGGGAGCGUGGCUGGACGGAUUGGCAGAGGUGGAUGUGGUACCCUGGUCACGCCUUCGCAAGCCAUGGAUUUCAGCACUCCAGUGUCAGCAGAACUUUGGUUAAAAGCAAGAAUUCCAUGUUGUGAUGCCCAGUGCAGUGUAGCUAUUUUGUUCCCCUGCCCAGUCUCCCUAGGGAUUAAAGGAAGGAAGAAAUAGUGACCUGAGUAACACUACACACAGCAGGCAGUUGCUGAAAGAGGUAUAAAUCUCCUUCUUUCAGUGUCAAAGGGAAGAAGCCAGGAUGACAAGAGUUUCUUUGAAACUCAAUGGUGUGCUUGUAUGUUCUGUAACGUGAAGAGAAAUGGGUACUAACAGUCUUGAUUAUAUGGUAUGACAGUGUAUCUUACACAGUCUGUAUUAAAAUCUUUUGUCUAGACAAGGAUGAAUUCUUGGGGGAUGAAAUAUAUCCUGUUUUCAACAUGGACAGAAACAGCCUGCAAAUUUAAAUGUUUCAGGAAAAAAGUGUUUCUAUGGUCAUUUCUGUGAGUAAAAUAAAUUGGUGCUGAUUCAAAAUAGCACAGGUGGGGUUACUUUGUGUAAUUGAGACCACCUAAGACUCAGCUGGUCUCAAUUAAAAGUCGUAUUGUGUUGGUCUUGUAUGCCAAGCUCAGAAUCCAGAACUGGAAUCUAGGAUGGCGCUAAACAUGCCUUGCAGUUUAACAUCCAGCAAGGUUUACACAGGUUUAUCUACUGACCUCUUUCUGAAGCUGAAGCAGCACCUGUUGCAUGGGUAAGAAUUUCAGAAUAAGAAGUGGAUUUUCAAUAGGAUUUGGGACUGGUGUCUUGUUUCAUAGAAGUGUAUCUGGGAAUAUGCUUUCUGCUAGUUUAACAGCUAAGCUUCUGACCACAUAUGGGGAGAAAAAAUAUUCAGUGAAUUUAGAGUAUAAAAAAAUAUGGAUUUUAUUUUUUUUGCAGGUACAAGCUACAUAAUGAAGGUCAGUUGACCUAACUAACAGCAAACAAAAAAUGGUUGUAGUGUGUGUAGAUCUCCUCCUGUAUCCAAACUGUUCCAUAUUCCUAGAGAAUUCAAGGGAGAGUUCCUAGAAAUGCAACUAAAGGCACUUUAAAGUGUUUGUCAUAUGCACUUAUAAUAAGCCACUAAACAGUUGUCAGGGUUGUUUUCCAUGAUAAACUCAAUUUACUGAGACCUGUUAACAAUACAGAUUUAAUUUAACACACACAUGGAGAUGAUGAGGCAGCAGAGAUCAGAGCAGGGGAUCAGUUUUGUCCAGUGUGUGUUUCUUUCCCUCCACAUAACCUUUUAUGACUGGUUCACAUUUUUGGGGGUGUCCUGGGGGGAUAUGUGGCCACACCUUGGUGCCCCCAUGGUGCUCCUGCUCAGUCAGAGCUGUGCUCUGCGUGUCACUCCGUGCUUUGGGAGAUGACCCUAUGCAGCUAUGGCACCAGUUAGUUGUGUUGACACAGGUGUGUGUCCUCUCUGCUCUCGGGAUACUGGGAGAGCUUAUUACAGCAGGACAGGCACAUUCCAAGGGUCACCCGAGGUGACACAGCACUGGCUCAUCAGUGGCAUGUGCUGGGAAAGCACAGCCCAGCUUUUGAGGGCCAGAGGUGUUACAGGUUUAGAGGGAACUGCUCUACGUGUUCUGUUCUAGGACUGUAUUAUAAUAAUGGUGGUAUUUACAGAAAAGAAACCCAGCUUUCUAUAAAUUGUUACCUUUGUCCUCAUAUCACAGCCUUGGAAUUCACAGCAUACCAAAAAACACAGGGAAAAGUUGGUUUGCCCCCCCCCCCCCAUGUUUAUAAACUCUAGGAUAGAUGUGCAGAACACAUGAGAAAAUAAAGGUCAAUCCCUGCAAAGAGUAGGUCUGUGUUAAGCAUGACAUCUGCAGUAUUUCUGUGCUGAGCAUGACACCUGCAGUAUUUUUGUGCUGAGCGUGACACCUGCAGUACUUCUGUUAAACAUGACACCUGCAGUAUUUGUGUUAAACUUGACACCUGCAAUAUUUCUCUCUCACACCAAUUCUCUACAGGACUGUGCACACCAGUGACAUGGAUCAGAAUGCUUCAGUAGCAAAGAAAGUGUCAUUAUAAGAGAAUUAACUAACAAAUUCAGCUACAGCCAGCACUCUAAGGAACCAGCUUUAGAGCACGGCCAUUGCAUUGACAACUUGCUGGUUUGAUAUCUGAGGCUGUUACUGAAGUCACAGACUCAAUACAGAACCAAACAAUUCAGGAUUUGGCUCCUGCGGAUCAAAAAUAUGCAUCUGCUGACGUUAGAAUUAACGAGCCAAGCAAAAAGAAAGGGGUGUUUCUUUGUUUAAUUUACAACAAUUAAAUAAAAUCCAGGAUCUAAAUGUUCCCUUGGGAAGGUACAGUUGCAACUACAUUGUUUACACUUAAUUGCAAGCACUGAAAAAGUUAUUUGCACUUCUCCAACACUGAAAAUUUUGGUUUUAAUUCUUAAUCUUCCAGACAGUUAUGCUGCAGAGCUUACUAACUCAAGCAAUUUAAAGUGCAUGCAUUUCUGGAAGGAUGGACAGUUGUAAGGAUAAGAGGAAGAGAGUUAAGCACCGUUUGUUUAAUGAAGGGUACAUUAGGUCAUAUCUUGUGUAAAAGCAGACCGUACAUCACUGUAGAACGGGAUACAUAAUUUCUUAAAACUUGAUUUUGUUUCUGAUAAUAUAUCACAACAAGGUACAUGCAUAAAAUAACAACAAAAGAUAUUAAUUGCAAAGUUUACUUUAAUUAAGUCUUUUUAAUGAUACACAGUACAAUGUAUCCACUACAUUGCUAAAAUUCACAACAAAAGCAGGUUUCAUAUGUUUAAAAAUACUUUUCAUAAUAAAUUCAUAAAUAGAUGAAGGUAAAGUAUAAAAAAUUACCAUAGUAUGCAAGCUUGCUCCCUUGUCUCCUCAUAUUCCAAAUGAUCUAGACAGUAUUGUAAUAAGAAAGUUUCAAAGCAAAAUAGUUACUGAUGAUUAGAAAUGUACAGCUGGCAUCUCUUGAAGGAACCUUGAAAAACAGCAACACAUUUGUGCUAGAAAAUGCAGAAUCAUUUUAACACUGUUAUCAUCCAAACCCCUCAGAUAAUUUUGGAAUGCAGUGAAUGAAUUCAAUAUGAAUUAGAGAUUUUCACCUUCUCCCCAACAGGUGUGUGAGCCAGCCUGGCUGGAAUGCUCCCUGUCUCUGGAGUUGUGGGCUUUGUACCUGUUAGGUCACAGAGUGAGGCACAGAAGAGGGAAAAGCUGGCUGACAGCACUGAGCAUAUCUGACUGUCAGAAAUAACUUCUCCUUACAGACUUAGAAAAUAGAAAUCUUUAAAAACACUUACAAAUAACUAAAUUCACUUUCUGCUCAGUAGAUGUCUGUAUCUACUUUAUGUCUGGCAGGCAGGACAGGGUCUGGUCUCAUCCCUUGGCCUCCCCAGGUUUGGGAAUGGUAUGUGUGUGUCACACCAUUCCAACACAGCUCUGGGGAAUCCCUGAUCCUACACCACCAAACCCUAUUUGCAAAGUUAUUCUCCUCAGCAAUAUUAUCAUUCUCUCAAGAAAACAUAUAUAGCAUUUUAUUUUGUCAAGUAUCGAACUACUUUUCACACCUAGAAUAAUCUAUUUUAAUAUCAUUUUUAAAGGGGAAAAAUGCUUCCUUAUGCACAGCAUUUAGGGAAUGAACAUGAAAAAUGCAGAAUAAUCAGGAUGCUCUGCCUUUCACAUUAAUGUUUUUUUUCUUUGAUUCCCUUUAGUGCAAAACCACUUCCAUAAAAGUUCUGUGAUUUUUUUGCAAUGGUACCGAGAUGCUUUUGAAGACGUUGACAGGCAUCUGUCUGCAGCUUUAAUGUCUCUGAAAAUGCAGCUCUUGGCUCACUUUUAAAAAAUACCUUCAAGUUGUCAAGACAAGUUUGCAUGCCGUGUUCAGAGGACAGCCUUCCAUACCCUUGUUGUCACAUACGGUAGUGUAGGUACCCAAAAUCACUCCCUCACAUCUUCAGAGGAAUCCAUAUUGCCCAGAGCAUUUACUGCAGAAGGAAAGGGUGUUGAUCAUCACGUUCCACAUCCCAGUGCAGUGUAAAGGUGGUUACUAGGAGACUGGCUUUUGGAGAUACACAGAUUACGUGGGGCAGGAGCCUUAAAAAGGACAGUUUCUAAGGAAAUACAGUCUUCUCUUUGAAGUUUUCCUCUGCUGUUAUCUGGAGAAUAUAAUCUUUGUGCGGUAACCUUUUUUUAUUGAUUGAACAAUUAGGAGUUAAAACUGCUAGCUUGCCACAAUUUUGGUCUCUAAGAUAAAAUUUACAGCAAUGUGGAUCUUUUUUAUCUAGCUAUAGGGGAGAAACUGAGGUUUAAACUCCUACAGAGUAGUUAAUGCUAAGGUGUGUGUUUCAUAUGUUCUUAUGAAAGCUUAAAUGCUUCAUGACAGGAAGGUUAAUCCUCAUUAUUCUGUUAAAUUUGAGGUUGAGAAAAAGCACAAUGAGUGUCAGCAGUUCACUUGGAUAAUCUAAAACUGUUCUCCAAAAGAAACAUGAAAAGUGACUUUUUAAUGAUAAAGAAAGCCUCAAGAAAUUUUUAUUAAGGUACAAUCUUGGAUCUUCUAAAGGUUUUCAAAUGGUGUCCUAGGGGAGAGACGUUUUUUAACCUCAUAAUGGAAGGACUAGGUCCUAAAUACAACUUUAAGCCAAUUUAACAGCUCUCCAAGUGUUAAACUCUGUUGUUACCAUACACUUAACUAGUUCUUAGCAGACCACUCUUCUUCAGUACAGAAAGCAGUUAAAUUUCAGUGGUACAAAAAGCAAAGAGGAAAACCUGUAACUCCUUAAGUAGUGCUUUAUUUUACCUUUGGGAAGGAAAGUAUCUCCUUUGAACUGAGUAAGCACUGAUUACACCUAACACAUUUCAUCAGACUAAAUAGAAAAUCUUCCCUGACUGUUACUCAGGCUUCACUUUCCUCAUUCUUGUGAAGUUCUCCUGUUCCCUUGUCUUCCAUGGCCACUGACUCACAUGGAAAAACAAGUCUGUUUUCAGUGAUGCCUAAAGUUACUUAUGUAAUACAGGGAACUGCCUUUAUCAGCAUUCAAGUAAUAGAAACCCUUGUUAAAAAAGACAGUGAAAAAAAAACCUGCAACCCUUUUAUGCUUCAAAGGAUUAUUUUUAAAGUGCAUUUUAACAUAUUUCAGUCACCCUAAAAAAUGAUGAAAUUUGUCAUACUAAGAUCAGGACAGGAGAGUAUUCUGGCUAUUUUUAUCUAACCUCUGGCAACAAUUCCAUGGAGAGCAACUAUAUAUUUGGGUUGGUUUGAUUCUGUAACCCUGCUCUUUUCCAAGUAAACUAAACUGAAAUGAUAAAGAAGAUGCAGAGGACUAACCUUGUGCUGGAAACCAGAACAUCCAGCUGUGGAAUAGUUGGAGUUUUUCCUAAAGUACGCAGCGGAGAUUGCAAUGAAAUGCUUCCUUCUGAGAUUUUUUGCUCCAUAACUCAGU